rnacentral:rRNA from 1 species
UAGGGAAUCUUCCACAAAUGGACGAAAGUACUGAUGGAGNAACGCCGCGUGAGUGAAGAAGGGUUUCGGCUCGUAAAACUCUGUUGUUAAAGAAGAACAUAUCUGAGAGUAACUGUUCAGGUAUUGACGGUAUUUAACCAGAAAGCCNCGGCUAACUACGUGCCAG